UUGCUUUUGACUGAAAUUUUUAGC
rnacentral:siRNA from 1 species